rnacentral:tRNA from 3 species
UUUCUGAUAGCUCAAUGGUAGAGCGUAUGACUGUUAAUCAUACGGUUAUUGGUUCAAAUCCAAUUUGGAAAG